rnacentral:rRNA from 1 species
GUGUCAGCAGCCGCGGUAAAACGUAGGACGCGAGCGUUAUCCGGAGUUACUGGGCGUAAAGCGCGGGCAGGCGGCCUGCCAAGUCUGAUGUGAAAUCACCCGGCUUAACCGGGCGAGGCCAUUGGAAACUGAUAGGCUGGAGGGCAGUAGAGGUAGGCGGAAUUCCGGGUGGAGUGGUGAAAUGCGUAGAGAUCCGGAGGAACACCAGAGGCGAAGGCGGCCUACUGGGCUGCACCUGACGCUGAGCCGCGAAAGCCAGGGGAGCGAACGGGAUUAGAUACCCGAGUAGUCC